GCAUAUGGAAAGUCAGCCUGGGAGGGAAGAACGUCAAUCUUUUCUCUGGAAAAGCACAUGUCUGAGCUGGUUUUGAAGGAUAAGAAAUGACUGGGAGGUGUGUGAGUGUCUGUUGGAGGUGGAUAGAUAAACUCCACGCACAAGAGUAUGAGGGCAAAAAGAUUAGUAUCAAGCAAAAGCAAAUUACUUUUCAUGGAGAACAGAGUUACAACAGUACCCGUAUCUGGUAUCUGUGGUUCUUCCUGUCCAGCAUCCACACUUCUCUCUGAAAAACAUCCUGAUUGUCCCUUAGGCCUCACCCCUUUCUUAUUUUCAGUCUCUGUGGUCUGGGUGGGAUGAACCCCACCCCAAUCCUAGUUCCAAGACUGGUCAUAAUGCUGGCAGUCAUGACCUCACAACAUUCUAUGCACCUGGAGCCUGGAUACAGUGAUGCCAUCAGGUGUGGUAUGUGAUCACAGGCAACUCAGGAACAGCUCUCCAGCCCCAGGACUUCUGCUGGAACCGCUGGGAGUUGGAAGCUUUCUUCCCACUGAGGGGCAAACCUUCUAGGUAUCUGAAGAUGUUGAAGACCAUUUCCUGGAACAGCAGAGGUAAAUGCCCAGAGGAUGAGAACACAUAGCCAUUAGGAGAGCCUGAAAGUUCAGUGUGACUGAAAGAUGAAGUUCAAGAGAAGGGACAAACUGCAAAACACAAGCUGGAGAGUUUUAGAUCUCAAUGGCGGGAACACCUUCAUGGCCCCUUUAUAGCUGGAUGAUCAUUUCCUGUUCUCUCCACCAUGGCCACCUGGUCCAAGCCACCAUCUUCAUGCACCUGGAUACCUGCCAUAACCUCAGCUGACCUUUCCUGUGUCCAUUCUUGUUCCUUUGGGCCCAGUCUCCUCGCUCAUAGCAGCAGAAUGAGUCUAUUAAAAAGUGAAACAAUU
rnacentral:lncRNA from 1 species